rnacentral:SRP_RNA from 1 species
GCCAGGCGCAGUGGCGCCUGCCUGUAGUCCCAGCUACUCGGGAGGCUGAGGCUGGAGGGUCUCUUGAGUCCAGGAGUUCUGGGCUGUAGUGUGCUAUGCCCAUCGGGUGAACACACGAAGUUCGGCAUCAAUACGGUGACCUCCCGGGAGCAGGGGACCACCAGGUUGCCUAAGGAGGGGUGAACUAGCCCAGGUUGGAAACAGAGCAGGUCAAAACUUCCUGUGCUGAUCAGUAGUGGGAUCACGCCUGUGAAUAGCCAUUGCACUCCAGCCUGGGCGACAUAGCGAGACCCCAUCUCUA